GCAAAAGAGUACUAAUUAAUUUGGUUCUAAAAGAUCUGGCUGCUACUAACCUUAUUUCUAAGAAUAUGAAGGGGUAGGACUGGUGAGCCAAAAGGAUUCUUCCAGUUUGAGAGGCAUUUGGGGAUCCUCAGGGACUGGAAAGCCUCCUCAACCGGGGGCGCCAUAGCAUUUCCACCAUCCUGCGUGGGUGUUUGUUUGAGCGCAGAUGGAAUCAGGAACAGUGCAGCCUUUCUCCCGAAAAGUGCACCCCAUCAACUCAUCUGUGCUCAUGCAUGAACGUAGGGGCGCCGUGGCAUUUCCACCAUCAUGCGUGGGUGUUUGAACACAGAUGGAAUCAGGAACAGUGCAGCCUUUCUCCCGAAAAGUGCACCCCAUCAACUCAUCUGUGCUCAUGCAUGAACGUAGGGGCGCCGUGGCAUUUCCACCAUCAUGCGUGGGUGUUUGAACACAGAUGGAAUCAGGAAAAGUGCAGCCUUUCUCCCGAAAAGUGCACCCCAUCAACUCAUCUGUGCUCAUGCAUGAACGUAGCUAUUCCUGAGAUGGUUCUGCAAGAGUUGAAUAGUCCGCGGAUGAAUCCUUUCCACAUCGAAGGAGUCUCAGGCCAGCCCUGUGCCCUCUUUCCAUGCUCAAGUGACUCUGAGGUACAUUAGCCCCUUUUAGUCCUGCACCUGGAGAGAAGUGUCUGGGAGCAAUGUCUCCAGUUGGGAUGAAGAUUUGUUUGGGCCAUAUGAUGGACUGAUGGACGCAGGGGAUGGAUCUUUGAUUUCUCUUUUGGGAAGGGAAAACCUGGAACUCUCCGAUUCGGGUUUUCCCAGAUGUGCCAAUAUAACGUCUCUAAUAAAUUCUUACGUGGAUGGACUUUGUCUCUGAGUGCUGAAUUGAGAUGGAGAGUUUGGUUGGAAUGCUGAGAUUUCUUUCCCUUGUCCAAAAACUGCCAACAGGAUGAAAAAAAUUAAAAUUGACUCCAGCAGCAUCAGCCUGGAUUGAGUAAUUAGUGAGUUUUCUGUUAAGACACAAAAGGAGAAAUGAGAAUUGGGUCGUCCCCCCCUAUAGUGGUCCUUCUAUGAGCUUUUUACAGGAAGGGUCUCCAACCUCCGGCUUGUGGACUUCACCUCCCACAAUUCCUCAGCCAUGGCUGGCUGAGGAAUUCUGGGAAUUGAAGCCCACAAGUCGUAAAGAUUGGAGAUGCCAGUUACAGCAAGCAAUAUAUAAUUUUUGCAAUCAAUCAAUGGGGACCAAACCAGACUAAAUUUUUAAAAAUUUGGGGGGGGGGAUGUCCCAGCUUCUAAAAACCCUUUUAACCAAACAUACAGCUUUUUUUUUGGCUACAAUUCUUCAAAUAUCUUAAUCUCAGUGCCUAACUUUUAUUUUAUUGUUGAUG
rnacentral:lncRNA from 1 species